UUUCCUCUCAUCCUCAAAAACGUCCUGGGUCAGGGAGACCGCGUGGAGAUUGACCUGCAGUAUAGCACCUCCUAAUAGAGUAGGAUGGGUUCGAAACUCCCAAAAUUCCCUGAAGACCCCAGCAGUCAAAGACUUGAAGAAGAAGGUAAGGUCUUGGAAAGUGUCCGGCUGGUGCUGCCGUCGCCAGUCAUACCAAAUGGCCACGGUGCCAUUAUUGACCACAGUCAGUUCUGAGGAGGUUUUCUCGCCUUCUAGGGUUUCAAAGGUCUUCAAGUCUUCCUUCUUAAUGGCCAAGGCAAGAAUGUCAUCUCCUUGUAGGACAUUGCUAACAGGUUCAGGCUCUUCCUGAAUUGUGGGUGUGGGUUGUUCAGGUCCCUUUGCCCGCUUCUUUUCUGAAGAGAAGC
rnacentral:lncRNA from 1 species